CCUUCGGGGUGAGCGGCGGACGGGUGAGUAACGCGUGGGUAACCUACCCUAUACACACGGAUAACGUACCGAAAGGUACGCUAAUACGAGAUAAUAUAUUUUUAUCGCAUGGUAGAAAUAUCAAAGCUUUUGCGGUAUAGGAUGGACCCGCGUCUGAUUAGCUAGUUGGUAAGGUAAUGGCUUACCAAGGCGACGAUCAGUAGCCGACCUGAGAGGGUGAUCGGCCACAUUGGAACUGAGACACGGUCCAAACUCCUACGGGAGGCAGCAGUGGGGAAUAUUGCACAAUGGGCGAAAGCCUGAUGCAGCAACGCCGCGUGAGCGAUGAAGGCCUUCGGG
rnacentral:rRNA from 1 species